rnacentral:rRNA from 1 species
AACUGUGAGACAGGUGCUGCAUGGCUGUCGUCAGCUCGUGUUGUGAAAUGUUGGGUUAAGUCCCGCAACGAGCGCAACCCUUAUCCUUUGUUGCCAGCGAUUAGGUCGGGAACUCAAAGGAGACUGCCAGUGAUAAACUGGAGGAAGGUGGGGAUGACGUCAAGUCAUCAUGGCCCUUACGACCAGGGCUACACACGUGCUA